rnacentral:rRNA from 1 species
UUAAGCAUAUCAAUAAGCGGAGGAAAAGAAACCAACAGGGAUUGCCCCAGUAACGGCGAGUGAAGCGGCAACAGCUCAAAUUUGAAAUCUGGCCUCGGCCCGAGUUGUAAUUUGCAGAGGAUGCUUCUGGCGCGGUGCCUUCCGAGUUCCCUGGAACGGGACGCCACAGAGGGUGAGAGCCCCGUAUGGUCGGACACCAAGCCAGUGUGAAGCUCCUUCGACGAGUCGAGUAGUUUGGGAAUGCUGCUCUAAGCGGGAGGUAUACGUCUUCUAAAGCUAAAUACCGGCCAGAGACCGAUAGCGCACAAGUAGAGUGAUCGAAAGAUGAAAAGCACCUUGAAAAGGGGGUUAAACAGUACGUGAAAUUGUUGAAAGGGAAGCGCCUGUGACCAGACUUGCGCCGGGCGGAUCAUCCAGCGUUCUCGCUGGUGCACUCCGCCCGGCUCAGGCCAGCAUCGGUUCUGGCAGGGGGACAAAGGCGGCGGGAACGUGGCUCCCCCGGGAGUGUUAUAGCCCGCCGUGCAAUGCCCCUGCCGGGACCGAGGUUCGCGCAUCUGCAAGGAUGCUGGCGUAAUGGUCACCAGCGACCCGUCUUGAAACACGGACCAAGGAGUCGUCCAUUACGGCGAGCGUUUGGGUGUAAAACCCCUGCGCGGAAUGAAAGUGAACGUAGGUGAGAGCUUCGGCGCAUCAUCGACCGAUCCUGAUGUUCUCGGAUGGAUUUGAGUAAGAGUCGUAACGGACGGACCCGAAAGAUGGUGAACUAUGCCUGUAUAGGGUGAAGCCAGAGGAAACUCUGGUGGAGGCUCGCAGCGGUUCUGACGUGCAAAUCGAUCGUCAAAUAUGGGCAUGGGGG